rnacentral:snoRNA from 1 species
UCCCUCUCAGGGUUGCGUCUGGAGAGUUUCCAGUACUCUAUCAGCCUCGACUAUGGGAGGGAGAGUCAAGCAGAGGCAUAUCCAUUCCAUUCCUAGUUGGGGCAGUGGCUAGCGAGUGGAAGGCAAUCUGCUACAAAG